rnacentral:rRNA from 1 species
AUAACGGAUAUUAGCUUGCUAAUAUUGUCAGCUAAGUGGCGCACGGGAUGAGUAAUAUAUAGGUAACGUGCCCUAGAGAAGAGGAUAACAUUUGUAAACGAAUGCUAAUACUCUAUAUGCCUUUAAGUCAUAAGACUGCAAGGGAAAUAUUUAUAGCUCUAGGAUCGGCCUGUACGGUAUCAUCUUGUUGGUGAGGUAAUGGCUCACCAAGGCAAUGACACCUAACUGGUUUGAGAGGAUGAUCAGUCACACUGGAACUGAGACACGGUCCAGACUCCUACGGGAGGCAGCAGUGGGGAAUAUUGCACAAUGGACGAAAGUCUGAUGCAUCAACGCCGCGUGGAGGAUGACACAUUUCGGUGCGUAAACUCCUUUUAUAUAGGAAGAUAAUGACGGUACUAUAUGAAUAAGCGCCGGCUAACUCCGUGCCAGCAGCCGCGGUAAUACUGAGGGCGCAAGCGUUACUCGGAAUCACUGGUGCGUAAAGAGCGUGUAGGCGGGUUAAUAAUUCAGAAGUGAAAUCCUAUAUGCUCUACUAUUUGAACUGCUUUUUGAAACUGUUAAUCCUAGAUAUAUGGGGAGAGGUAUAUGGAAUUUUCUGGGUGU